rnacentral:rRNA from 1 species
AGCGAACGCUGGCGGCAGGCCUAACACAUGCAAGUCGAACGAAGUCUUCGGACUUAGUGGCGGACGGGUGAGUAACACGUGGGAACGUGCCUUUAGGUUCGGAAUAACUCAGGGAAACUUGUGCUAAUACCGAAUGUGCCCUUCGGGGGAAAGAUUUAUCGGCUUUAGAGCGGCCCGCGUCUGAUUAGCAAGUUGGUUAGGUAAAGGCUCACCAAGGCGACGAUCAGUAGCUGGUCUGAGAGGAUGAUCAGCCACAUUGGGACUGAGACACGGCCCAAACUCCUACGGGAGGCAGCAGUGGGGAAUCUUGCGCAAUGGGCGAAAGCCUGACGCAGCCAUGCCGCGUGAAUGAUGAAGGUCUUAGGAUUGUAAAAUUCUUUCACCGGGGACGAUAAUGACGGUACCCGGAGAAGAAGCCCCGGCUAACUUCGUGCCAGCAGCCGCCGUAA